ACAUCAUCAGCCUGCGGGGGCAGGACAGGUGCUGGAUAGAUCAUGGCCAUCCCUCCAGCUGCCCCACACACAUCCCAGACACUUCCACAUGGUAUCUGGGAGCUCCAAUCCAGCUCUAGGAUGGGAGUACCCUGGGGUACUCACCAGGCCCACAUACCUGGGUAUGAGGACCAAGUCAACCUGGAGAUGCACAAGGGCAGCAGCUGGGUGGAGGAAAUCUGAGGUAACAGGAAGGCUCUCUGUGAGGAUUCCCAUCAGGAACUGAAGCAUCCAGCAAGGAGAGCUGAAAACUGCCUUCUUAGGAGAGAGUCCUGGCGGUCUUCUGGAUACUGGGGGCCCCAAACCCAAUCAGGUUCCAAGUGCCAGACUAUUAUUUCUUUGGAGGCAUUCCCAGCCUGAUCUCAGAUGGAAGAAGGGAAUGCAGACUGCUCACCUCAGUUGGGCCCUGAAGGUGAGACAAUCAGAACUCCCAGCUCUGGGGCCUGGAGAGGCAGAGCCAGAGGAGGAACCUAGGACCACAGUGUCUGGCCAGUGGGUUAUUUGGAUCUCUUUGCUCAAACCUAGCCUCUUUGCUUGGCUCCCGGAAGAAGGAAGCUACCCUUCAAUAUCCAGAGCCAUAAGCCAAAGCAGGCUUAAAGAAGUGUUUCAGCCAAGGGAACUUGAA